UAUCCAUGGAACCAUCUUCAACGAUCGUUAAAGAUAAUCGCUUUAUUUAUUAUCGCUGUUAAAUAAAGGUUUUAUAUUUUUCUUUGACUGUUAAGUUCUUUAAGGAGCAGAAAAAUACCAAUUAAUGCAUUAAAUUCCGAUGAAUUUUGCACUUCUACACUAGCAAUGGCCCAUUUGUUGACAAUCGUUUUCUCUUUAGGGUUUUUACAAAACAAAACAAACACGUCACCUUGACCUUCAUCACAAUAUCCUGACCUCUUUUUUCUAAGUUUAUUGAGAAAAAAACAGGAUGAAAACAGAAAGAAAAAACCUCAGAAACACUUAAUGCUGUCACAGCUUAGACAGAAUUAUAUCAGCCUUCAGAUUAUAUAAAUAAAAAAAGACGGAAAGAUCGGAAAAGAAUGAAUGCGAUAUGGAAUCUCAACAGGAAACACACGCACUUUGCUACGUGUUGCCUUAUAUAUAUAUAAAUAAAUAGAAAUACAAUCUAGUAAAAACAAUACAGCUUUCUCGAGAAUGUUUGCAACGUUGCCUUAUUUUGGAAGUUUCAUUAUAAGGUAACUGGAAAUUACUCCAAAGAAGUUCAAUAUAGAAUGGUAAGUGGACUUCAUAUCUUAGAAAAGGAUAUAGUACAUUCUUCCAGCUCACCCCAAGCUGAAGAGGCGUGUGCACGUUAUGAAUCAGAGGCAGUUGAUUGGCCAAAAUGGUGCCAUGACGUCACAGUCACGCGCACUGGUCCACCGUCGUCCUCUGCAGAAUCAAAACAAAACUCCAUGUUGAUUACUACUUUGAAGUGAAAUAAUGUAAACACGACAGAAAGAGCCACUCAAAACGUUAUAUUAACUCACGCAUUGACAUUUAAAGUUGAAAACGAUCAGCCAAACACAUCACAACUGUUGCAAUAAGACUGAAAUUCCUGUUUCUAUGAAUUGAAUAAC
rnacentral:lncRNA from 1 species